GGACCUUUAGCUCAGUUGGUUAGAGCAGACGGCUCAUAACCGGAUGUGCGCAGGUGGAGCAUGUGGUUUA
rnacentral:tRNA from 1 species